GGACGAGAAUACAUCACAUUGCUCUGGCAAGCAUAGAGCCUAUAUGAUGGCACAGCAGCAUUUAAAUAAUUGGCAGGCCUUGUAUCAACCAUCAACAUGUCCAUAAGGAUUUUUACAAGAGCAGUUCUUGUUUCACCAUGAGCACAUAAAUUCAAAAGAAGCCUCUGCAAAGGACCUUUAUAUAAUGGCUGAACAAUGCGUAGCACCCGUAUCAUUGCUUGAAGCGAUUCCG
rnacentral:misc_RNA from 1 species